AGAAAGGCAAAACUCGUGUCCCAAACUUAAGGAAAGUGAGAUCCAGAAAGAAGAAAACACGCGUGACAAGCCGGAUAGAAAUGGAAGCUUCUUCGUUCAAGUUUUCGUUCAGCCCAUUUCUCGUGACGGUGAAUCUCAAACAAAGAGCGAAGAAUCCGUUUUAAGCUGGUAGAGAAGAAUAAACAGAGAUUGAAGCAACGGAAACGCGAGAUCGAAUAAAGUAGGUCUUCUACGAGAAAAGGAACUGUUCACCCCCGUGAACGCAAACCAUACCCCUCGAUACACGCCGUUCACUGCACCGUCAAAACCGACACUACGUUCAAGCUACGUGUAAAUACUGUACAAAAGGCAAAGAAAAAGAGAGAAUGAAAAAAAAACAAAGACAAGUUGAUAUAAAAUAAAAAGCGUGAUCGCUAUGUAAUAAACCAUACCGGCUGUUCCCUUAGUGCAGCGGCCGCCUUUCCUACGACGGCACAUAUCAUACCUGUUUCGUGAAAUAAAAAUCAAACAGUAUGAAAUUAUCAGACUGCUGUGGACGAUAUUAACGUAAUAUGUAUAUUGGGGGCCAUUGAACUCGGACAUUUUCUGUGCGAUCGAAAUCCGUGCUUUUUUUUUUAACCCCCUAUACCGAAAAUCAAUGGCAAAAGGCACAUCUACAAAUUUUUCAUAUUACAUAUAUUUGCAAUCUAUUAAUUAGAACAUGAAAAGUAAUUUUUUCGUGGAACUUUGCUC